rnacentral:lncRNA from 1 species
GGGGUAGCGGGCAGCCCUGCGCUGCCGGCCGCCUAGCCUGCACCCCCCGCCCUGGGAGGGAAGCCUCGCUCCAGCCGCGUCGUUUCCGCGCCGAAGUGCGAUCCGGGGCCCCGCGCUGGAGUCCCCUGCUCUCAGGCUGGUCUGGAAGGUGGCAGUUGCUGGAGUACCAGGGCACCAAGUGGAGGAUGUGGUAGACAGCCUCUAAGAUGCGCCCCCUGCCAAUGAUCUCUGCCUCCAGGGAGGAGCUAGAAGGCAGAGAGAAAGCCACUCAGGACUUCCCAUCCCAGAAGAUAAAGGUGAGGAAAGCAGCAGCAGCAGCCACAGGCCAGUAUUCCAGAGCAGCUUUGGGUUCCUGUCAAGACCUGCUUUGAGAAGGAGGUGGCUGUGGGGCUGGAGGGCUGGGCCUGUUCCUGAGCUGGCUGCUGGCAGCACAGCAAUGAGGCAACAUUGAGAACUGCGACACGAGGCCCAGUCCUGCUACUAAACCAACUGUGUGGACUUGCAUAGUCACUUCACCCCUCGGGCCUCCAUUUCUCCACUUUGGAAAGCAGUGUUGGGACGAUGUUAAGGGUUUGCAACCUUCCAACAUGAAGACUUAUUUUUAAAAGCAAAACAUUUCAAAGAGUCCA